GACGAACGCUGGCGGCGUGCUUAACACAUGCAAGUCGAACGGAAAGGCCCUGCUUUUGUGGGGUGCUCGAGUGGCGAACGGGUGAGUAACACGUGAGUAACCUGCCCUUGACUUUGGGAUAACUUCAGGAAACUGGGGCUAAUACCGGAUAGGAGCUCCUGCUGCAUGGUGGGGGUUGGAAAGUUUCGGCGGUUGGGGAUGGACUCGCGGCUUAUCAGCUUGUUGCUGGGGUAGUGGCUUACCAAGGCUUUGACGGGUAGCCGGCCUGAGAGGGUGACCGGCAAAAUUGGGGGAGAGAUACGGCCCGGACACAAACGGGAGGCAGCAGUGGGGAAGAUGGAACAAUGGGCGGAAGCCUGAUGCAGCAACUCCGAGUGGGAGAUGACGGACUAAGGGUAGUAAACAGCGAUCGCCUGUGACGAAGCGUGAGAGACGGUAAAGGGUAAAGAAGAACCGGAUAACUACGUG
rnacentral:rRNA from 1 species